CGGAGAUGUCAGCAAUGACACUAGUAGAGUGCAAUCUCUGCAUUGCUAAGUGGCUGUCACAUUCUUUUAAAGGUAUCCAUCAACUGAGCCACAACUCAAGCUUGGGGAUUCAUACCAGCAGCCUAUCGGUUACUGGUCCAUUUGUAAGCUGUCUAACGCCUCGCUAACAAAUGGAAGAGGAGAGAAGGAGAGGUUAAGUAAAGAGGACAAGCUGAAACACAGAAAAAAGAGAAGUGGCAGAGACAUGGAUAAAGGAGGGCAUUUGGGAUUAAAGUCUCUAUGUCAUCAACACAGAGAAAAAGAUGAUAGCCCUGGAGGAGAAAAGGAGAAAUUUGAGGACAAAGUGAGAACGAUUGAGGAGGCAGCUAAAUGAUGAAAUGAAAAAGAUUAACUUAUUAAGUGUGAGACAGAGCAACUCACAAGAGCCCCUCCCUCAGAGAAAUGACCAGAAAACCACAUCACAAAACAACACC
ensembl:lncRNA